GAUGAAGAACGUAGCGAAAUGCGAUAAGUAAUGUGAAUUGCAGAAUUCAGUGAAUCAUCGAAUCUUUGAACGCACAUUGCGCCCAUUAGUAUUCUAGUGGGCAUGCCUGUUCGAGCGUCAUUUCAACCCUUAAGCUUAGCUUAGUGUUGGGAGACUGCCUAACCGCAGCUCCUCAAAUACAGUUGGCAGAGUGUAUGUGUGCUCUGAGCGUAGUAAUUUAUUCUCGCUUCUGAAAACUAUAUACUGUAGCCACAAACCUAUUAUUUUUUAAUGGUUGACCUCGGAUCAGGUAGGAAUACCCGCUGAACUUAAGCAUAUCAAUAAGCGGAGGA
rnacentral:misc_RNA from 1 species